rnacentral:lncRNA from 1 species
CUAAAAUGCAUUCAAGCAAUUGUGCACAACUUUCAUCAAAAUAUACACUCUUGUCACAUGAUUUUAUUUUGUGCAUUUUGAAGAGGGAUGAAAGAUACCAGAGGGACAGCCAAACUCAUAGAUCGAAAACAGACUGACAAUGCCAUAGCCAAAAAUAAAAGGACAAACAGACAAAUAAUAGUAUAGAUGACACAACAUAGAAAACUAAAGACUAAGCAACACGACCCC